ensembl:lncRNA
AUGAAAAGGCACAAUGGCAAAAUUGAACAGGCUCCUUUUCAAAUCCACAUCUCCGAUGUCCCCCCCGCCACCCUUCCACAGUCUGCAGUUGCUCGGCGGCUGGUGUGGCAGGCGGAGUGGAAGGAGAGAGACAGAGAGAGAGAGAGAGGGUUACAUCAAGGCUGCUCCCUGGACCGUGCAAACAAGUCUAGACCAGUGACCUGUUCAAUGGCUCCUUUUGAGGAGCAGGGCAAGUUCGGUCAUGGCGAGGAGAAAGCCAGGCGUGCCCUUCUUUUCAGUGCCGGAGCAGCUCACAGCACACAGCCGCCAGGAGAGAGGAGAAUGAGAAGUGACCAUGGGCAACGCCAUACCCGGACAGGCACAUAAUCAACAGGGAAGCGUGGCGUGGCCCCCUCUUUCUCUCUGUCUGGACACUCCCAGGUAAGACCCAAUAACAGCCACUGGAACACUAAGAUACUAAGAUGAAAUAUUACACUAUAUGCCCCAUUAACAUCUUAACUAGAACCUCAGUCUCUGCAGUAUCUGGUACCUUUGGAGGCAUUUCACUGUGUUUUCAUUAAAGUGGGCACAUUGGCUCAACACGAGUCGGUAGAAAUGUCAGCUAUGUUGGCCACUGCUCUGCCAGACAGACAGACGUGAGUUGGGUAAUCAGCCAUAGUUGUUUUGCGACCUGCUUCUAGCAUUGCUUUUCUCUACAGAUAGAUGCCCACUGUGGACAGUGAGACACAAGACAAUAUUUUAGUCAGCUUCAUCCCACUGCAGUCAUUUAAAACCAUGAUGUCCUGCCUCUUUUUCUUUUGUUUGUCUCUUUUUUCUGUCUACCUCAAUUUCCCUCUCAUUCUGUCAUUAACUCUCAGCUUCCUUUUCCCUCACACCCUCUGUCUCUCACUCUCUUUGACACUCUGUUACUGUCUCUCUUUUCCGUUCUCCCUUUUCCUCUCACCCUCUCAUUGGUAUGCAGUGGCUGUUCCCCAGGCGACCGGGCCACUGGGUUCGGGCUAAACUGACUGCAGGAGGAGCGUCAGCUCCGUAGUAGAGAGGACAGCAGGACAGCAGGUAAGGGUAAUGAGAACAGGCAGAGAAAGGAGGAGGCGGACAAGAGAAAGGAGGAGCGCAAGCUAGUUGUCCCAAAGGGGCUUUGGGGGUGAGGGACCAUACACUGUCCAGACAGACACACACACACACACACAUACACACACACACACAUUCAAGAUUAAACACAUGAGCAGAUACAUUCAGUUAAAGUGCAUUUAUGUAUCCAAAAAAGCUACAUAUCAUUUCUCACAAACACACAAUGUGAAUUUGUGAAAUGUUUAGCUCAUUUGUUUGCUUUGCAAGAUACUUUUUUGUUUUUUGAGAUACAUGCAUAUACGUUUUACAAAAUGUAUUUUUGUAAACUAAAGAAAUAAUAAUUACAAUGUAACGCAAAUGGUAUCUAAUGUCAUUAUGAAUUGUGUAAAAAUAAACGGAUAAAUAUGACAUCUUCGUCUGUUUCUUUUGUUAUUUCAAUUUCAACCUAAUGAUAUGUAAGAACUGUUGGUUUCCACAGUGUUUUGCAUUGCAUGAGAGCAUAUUGGUUGCGUAGGCAACGCCUGGCGGAGGGGAAUUAUCCACAAAUAUCCUAGAUUCAGUGUGUCUGGGUGUGUUUGUGUGUACGUGUAGCCAGACUGUGCUUGGGGAGCAGUGCGGCCAGGCUGCAGAUAUCAUCCAUCUCCCUGUCACUGGCCCAGGGGCUGCUGGGAAGGCAGCAGACAGCUCCUCGGCUCUGACGACCGGAGCUGCAUCCUAAUUCUCCAACUCGGAUCGCACGGAACCAUCACUCUCUACACUCCUCCCCCGCCACCCAGGACGGAAAAUCGUUAACCCUGCAAUCUGGGAACAAAGCACAGCGCUAAGCCAGUCUACCAAAGCCUGUUGCUCGCAUCUUCUCCAUUAUUCCUCAUAUUUGACCAUGUCUCACAGUUCACACACUGACUGGGCAAUGAGUUGUUAAUGAGGUGAAAGACGAGAAUUUGAAAGCCCUAGCUGAAUCUCAGCAAACAAUCUGAAAUAGUUCCACUGCCUGCACUUCUGUUGGUAAACUUAGCUUAUUAUGUUUAUUAUUUGUAAGGUCUUCUAUCCUGCAUUGACUUUUGCCGAUAACUUAUUCAUUGACUAGAAUGCACUUACUACUAAACUGUGUGGUAAUUUCAACUAGCUUUCUUCAAACGUAAGCACUAACUGUAAGUCACUCUGGAUAAGAGCGUCUGCUAAAAGACUACAAUGUAAUAAAAAAUAAAAAGAAGUAACGUAAAUAAUGUCAAUGUCAAAAACAUCCUGAAGAUGGAUUAUUAUUAUACUACAUUGCCCAAAUCAUACAAACCUUCCAGAUGUUCUAAGAUAUUUAGAAGAUGCUAUUAAGUAAUGUAGGGCCUUUCUAUGUGAAGGGGGUGUAAUAUUAUUUAUGCAAAUGUUUGAUAUCUUUUGUUGACAUAUUAGUUGUCCUAUUAACACAAAGAAAUGUAGGCUUCAUAAGCUUUACAAGACACAAAGGCAACCCAUUUAUGUUGCCACCCAUUUAUGUACUGUCAUGAAAAGUUCACCUUGUGAGGUAACCAGUUCAUGUUAAUUGCAGAUCAAAUUGUGAAUAAAAUGACAUCUCUAAAGUUCUUCCUAACAAAUUAAUGUUUUAAUGUUCUUCUAAUCAAUAUACCUAACACACAUUUUGUAACAUUAUGAAGCCAAACAGUGAUCAGUCAAUAAAAUUUUAUAUUUCAUAUUUUAUAUCUUCCUGGGCUCUCCAUGGUGGAUAGUGGCCUCUUUAAUACCUUCGCCUUGUGGUGGGAAAAAGAACAUUCACAGAGGACUUCUGCUGUCAGUUUUUCUAUCGCUGGGAAAUCAGUUGAACCGCAACUCAGAAAUGUUGCUCUGAACUCAUAAGACCCUCCUGAACUUGCAAGCUGAAGAAUCCAUUCCUGCACCACACAAAGGAGACUUUGAUUUCUGAUGAGUAAAACAAACACCAUGCUUGUACAUGUUAUCUGAAUCUGCUGACUGUUCUCUUGAAGUUUUGGCCCCAAGACAUCUCACAUAAAAAACAACAAGACAUCAUCCGCACAUGGCCAACCACAAGCUUCUCCCUGUUACAAAUGGAGCUUAAAAAAACCCUCAGCCAAAGCAAACAACUGUCAGUUGGAUACAAUCAGUGGUAUGUCUCUCUCUCUCUCUCUCUCUCUCUCUCUCUCUAUGUGUGUGUGUGUGUGUGUGCAUGUGUGUAAAAAACAAAGUGCAUGUAUGUGUAUCAUUGUUUUAUCCUUUAUUUUACGAAAGAGACCACAUUGAGAUUUACAUCUCUUUUACAAAUGUGUCCUGGACAAGAUAGCAGCUGACAUAAUUAACACAACAUAAAAGAAAAGUUGAAACAUAUGUGUAAUUAGAGUUGAAACAAGCUGAUUUAAAAAUUUGCAAUUUCAGUGUAGAAACCGCUCAAUCUGUGAUUUAAAAUCAG